CCUACGGGAGGCUGCAGUGAGGAAUAUUGGUCAAUGGGCGCGAGCCUGAACCAGCCAAGUAGCGUGAAGGAUGACUGCCCUACGGGUUGUAAACUUCUUUUAUAAAGGAAUAAAGUGAGGCACGUGUGCCUUUUUGUAUGUACCUUAUGAAUAAGGAUCGGCUAACUCCGUGCCAGCAGCCGCGGUAAUACGGAGGAUCCGAGCGUUAUCCGGAUUUAUUGGGUUUAAAGGGUGCGUAGAUGGGUUGUUAAGUCAGUUGUGAAAGUUUGCGGCUCAACCGUAGAAGUGCAAUUGAUACUGGCAGUCUUGAGUACAGUUGAGGUAGGCGGAAUGCGUGGUGUAGCGGUGAAAUGCAUAGAUAUCACGAAGAACUCCGAUUGCGAAGGCAGCUUACUAAACUGCCACUGACAUUGAUGCACGAAAGUGUGGGUAGCAAACAGGAUUAGAUACCCGAGUAGUC
rnacentral:rRNA from 1 species